AAGUCGUAACAAGGUCUCCGUUGGUGAACCAGCGGAGGGAUCAUUACUGAGUACUACACUCUCUACCCUUUGUGAACUAUUAUACCUGUUGCUUCGGCGGCGCCCGCAAGGGUGCCCGCCGGUCUCAUCAGAAUCUCUGUUUUCGAACCCGACGAUACUUCUGAGUGUUCUUAGCGAACUGUCAAAACUUUUAACAACGGAUCUCUCGGCUCCAGCAUCGAUGAAGAACGCAGCGAAACGCGAUAUGUAAUGUGAAUUGCAGAAUUCAGUGAAUCAUCGAAUCUUUGAACGCACAUGGCGCCUUCCAGUAUCCUGGGAGGCAUGCCUGUCCGAGCGUCGUUUCAACCCUCGAGCCCCUGUGGCCCGGCGUUGGGGAUCUGCCACGGCAGGCCCCUAAAACCAGUGGCGGACCCGAAGGGCCCUCUCCUUUGCGCAGUAGCAUUCGCCUCGCAUCGGGAGUCCUCGGCGUCCUGCCUCUAAACCCCCACAAGCCCGCUUCGGCGGCACCAAGGUUGACCUCGGAUCAGGUAGGAAUACCCGCUGAACUUAA
rnacentral:rRNA from 1 species